rnacentral:lncRNA from 1 species
GAUGGGACCAAGAUAUCUAAAAACCAAUGACUCAGAAAGCUCCCCUAAAAGUUGGUGACUAAAUGACGAUAUCAUCUUCUUUGAGAAAGAUCUACAAGGAGUCCAAACUCCUCAUAAUGAUGCUAUUAUUGUAUCAAUGACGAUAGCGAAUUAUGAUGUAAAAUGAUAUCUUAUUGAUAAUGAAAGCUUAGCUGAUAUAAUU